AUUGAACGCUGGCGGCAGGCCUAACACAUGCAAGUCGAACGAGUGGCGGACGGGUGAGUAAUGUCUGGGAAACUGCCUGAUGGAGGGGGAUAACUACUGGCAACGGUAGCUAAUACCGCAUACCAUCGGAUGUGCCCAGAUGGGAUUAGCUGGUUGGUGGGGUAAAGGCUCACCAAGGAGACGAUCCCUAGCUGGUCUGAGAGGAUGACCAGCCACACUGGAACUGAGUCACGGUCCAGACUCCUACGGGAGGCAGCAGUGGGGAAUAUUGCACAAUGGGCGCAAGCCUGAUGCAGCCAUGCCGCGUGGAUGAAGAAGGCCUUCAGGUUGUAAAGUACUUUCAGCGGGGAGGCGUUACCCGCAGAAGAAGCACCGGCCAACUCCGUGCCAGCAGCCGCGGUAAUUC
rnacentral:rRNA from 1 species